rnacentral:rRNA from 1 species
GAUCAUGGCUCAGGAUGAACGCUAGCUACAGGCUUAACACAUGCAAGUCGAGGGGAAACGAUAUUGGAAGCUUGCUUCCGAUAGGCGUCGACCGGCGCACGGGUGAGUAACGCGUAUCCAACCUGCCCACCACUUGGGGAUAACCUUGCGAAAGUAAGACUAAUACCCAAUGAUAUCUCUAGAAGACAUCUGAAAGAGGUUAAAGAUUUAUCGGUGUACGAUGGGGAGUGCGUUCCAUUAGGUAGUAGGG